rnacentral:rRNA from 1 species
CACGUAGGGUGCGAGCGUUGUCCGGAAUUAUUGGGCGUAAAGAGCUCGUAGGCGGUGUGUCGCGUCGGCCGUGAAAACCUGCAGCUUAACUGUGGGCUUGCGGUCGAUACGGGCAUCACUGGAGUUCGGCAGGGGAGACUGGAAUUCCUGGUGUAGCGGUGAAAUGCGCAGAUAUCAGGAGGAACACCGGUGGCGAAGGCGGGUCUCUGGGCCGAUACUGACGCUGAGGAGCAAAAGCGUGGGGAGCGAACAGG